UGAGCGGGCCCGCUGCUUGCCGCAAGUUUCACCCGGAGCGGGAAAGUUGGGCGCGGCGCCGCGGCCCGGCGGGACUCGGCCAGAUUCCUGGAAAUCUGAGGAGCAGUCUCUCGUGGCCAAAGAACGCAAUUCUCUCCGGAAGUGUGGGUGUCUUGUAUGAAGGGGACUGAAGUAGGAUCAGUAGGAUCAGCUGGUAUUCAAGAAAUCUGUGCAGAAGACAUGAGAGCUCUGUAAAGUUACUAAUGCUGUUUGUCCUCUACCAUCUGACAGCCUAAAGACAGGAAGCUAAAGAGGUUCAAUUUCAAGAUGGAUCAAGUGGAGCAUAUUGGAAACCUGUAAACAAGAAGUCUGAUCUCCCCUCUUUUUUCCCUUUAAGUCUGCACCAUAGCAACUAUCUACACAGAAGGAUUUCAUGUCUUGUAUGAGGAAAUCUGUAGAGAAGCCUUGUUGUUCUUCUGUUCAUUUCUAUCACAAAGAUACAUUAGACGAACAUAUCUGGUGCUGUCUUGGAAAGUUGGGUGUUUCAUUCCUGGGAGGAACUGAUUGUAGAUACUGGCUUUGUUAAAAGAUCUUACUUUUCUGUUACGCUUCCUUCCAUGUCAGUGUGCCGAGUUGGGAAUCCAAUUGUAAAAGAACUGUGAACUCGCACUGGAAAAUAACAUCCAAGUUUUCUAAUCUGAGCAUUUCUCCUCCUCAACAGGAAGAUCUGCAGGUUUUCCACGUGUUAGUUAAAUGGAAUGAAAUUGGCAGCUUUAGGAAAAGAACGUUUCAGUACAGAGUUUGAAUAAUUAAAAUUUGGAAUUGAACACAUUUUUGCCUUGGGCAUUUUGCAGUUGCUGCUUAUGACGACAGUGUUAUUUUGAAAUGAUUUGGACCUUUUGUCAGUAUCACCAAUUUAAGAGUGGUUUAGCCCUUAUGCUGCCGAGUGGAGGUAUGCUAAGGGGAAGAAAGGGCAACUGUUUUUCAUUAUGACACAGACAAAAAGCUUCAAGCAUAAACUAAAGGUAUGGAAAGCAUCUUCCUCGCAGUAGUGUCAGCUGGAUCUAGUCCUAAGCCUGUCUGCUACUUUUCUGUGGUUAUAUGAGUGGGUUUUUUUCCCCUACCAACUGACUGAUGUUUGUGAAGAUGCUUGCAAUGGGGCUAAAGCUGACAUAUUCCUGCCUGGUUACUCACCUUGAGGGGCACAUGGUCUGCCCUGGUAGGCAGUAAGCGCUUACGAACACAAUUUUUCUUGGCUAUCUGAGUGUAGUCAUUCAUUGUACCUAAAAUAGAUUUAAAAUGUUUCUAGGAGGGGUAUUGGUUCUUUAAGUCCCUCAAAUUUCUGGCAGUUGCUGCCUGAUGUCUUGGGACAUGGGUGACUGGACUUGGUCAUGUCAUUGUCAGUAUUUCUCUUGCAGAGAAGUUCUCUAAACCAGUGGCAGACUACACUUGGUAGGUGUAUUGAGCUACAAGAUAGUGUUAUAAGCAAAUACAUGUUCUCCUCCAUGAAAGCUGUAGAAGCAGCAAAUGCUCCGAACUGCAUCUCUAGAGUGUCUGAUGGUUUAGGUACUGGUGAAGCAUUUUUGUUCCUAGAGAUUUAGUAGCUCCUCCUAAGACUUGUAUAGUUCAACUUCUAAUGUAUGGAUAUGGCAUUUUUGCUUUAUAAGUCAGGCAUUUUUUACUUUCUAAAGAUGUUUCCGUGGCCGCAGCAAAUCUGGUCUGUCUUGUGAAGUAUGUGAGUGGAAACAGCAUGUGCUAAAAUUGCAUCAUGAACUAAAUCAGGGUUGUGACAUACAUCAUAUAUUGAGAAAUAGUUUGCAUUGAAUUUCAGUUGCUUACUGAAAAGGAUGUUUGAAAGUAUAAAUCUUCUAGCGUUCGUUGUAAGCGAUAAAUCGUCUCUCUGAUUUGUUUGCAUUUUGCUUUAUAUUGCUAAUAUUCUGCUUUAAUUUGCUGGAGUUAAUUUGCAGGAACCAGUUUCUCUCCUCGUAGGAGAGAACUGUCAGCUGAUGGGAUGAAAGAUUCUUUGAGCUGACCAAAAAAGUAACUAAUGCACCUUGAAUGCAGUAAUACCUGUAGGCUAGGCUAUGUUUUUCUUCUGUGAUUUGUGUCAGAUCUCGUUUUAAGUUUCCAGUCACUUUAAACUUAAUAAGAGUAAAACAUUUGCAUAUUAAAAAACAAGGUGUAUGCUUUCUAAUCCAGGCAAUUAGGAUCAUUGCAGUAAAUUCUGCUGCAGAAAUUUGUGUCAGCGCUCUGCCUUUCUGAAGAAUCUGAAGACACAUAAUGUAAAACUGAACAUCAUUCAAUCUUCACUUCCAGUUGUUUAUCAUUUCAGAAUGAAAUGGUUUAAAAAUUAAAAUCUGAACCCAACUUAAUUUUCAAUUUCCUCUUUGGUUCCUGUUUUAGCAUCUCUCAACAUUACUGUCGUGUUGGCAGGAGGUGUCAUGUUGCUGGGCUCUCAAGAACAAAGUUUCCUGGCAGUGGCAUGAACAGCACUGGGGCAGAUUUUUUUGUUAUGAAGAGGGUGUAUAUGUUACCAUGCUGCUUAAAUUUGGUUUUUGACCUCUGCUGAAGUGGCUAAUGGUGACGACACAAUCUUUUCUCAUACUGUCCUGGGGUAGCUUCAGUGCAGCUUGUGCAGCCCACCGGAGCUGUGAGCUGGCAGAUGUCAGUCACUGCAACUUUGAAGAGAGAGUGGGGUAUUUCUAGCUAGGAAUGUAAGUCAGAAUAGGAGAGAAGGUAGACAUCAUGGCUUUUUCAUCUCAUCACACGGCACUCUGAUUAUUUUGCAUAGCCUUCUAAGAAGGAGCCUGUGUGGCACUUGACAUCAGCCCUCUCUUGAGAUUUAUGUUUAGCACGGAAGGUAAAAUGGAGAUGUUGCUGAACCCUGCCUAACACGGCGGUUCUUCAGAUAAGACCCAUAGAAUUGCAGCCCUGGUCAAAAAUAUCUACAGAAAGGAAGUACCGGAGCUGCUUACAUCCCUUUCUUCUCCCUUUAAUACUUGGCAGGCUUUCACUUAGCUUGGUCAGGAAGUUAAUAUGGGGUGGUAGCUGGAGAGGUCACUUGCAUCGAGCAAUCUGAGAUACUAGCUGCCUGCUCUCAUCUCUCGCCAGGAAGGGCACAGGCAGAACUGUAGGCGGUUGCUUGAUUAUUAUUUUUUUAUAAUUAUUUUUUUCCUGUGCUGCUUCUAAGAUUUCCUGGUGUUGUAAGGCUUCGGAAAGAAAAUGAAGCUCUGUGCACUGUCUGAUGGUUGGGUCUAGAAGGGAUUUCUUGCAGAUUACAUUUUGUGAGAAGUAGCCUGUUAAUUUUUGUAGCAGAAAGAAGCUCUGGAGGUGAGUGGCACCAUUCCAGGUUAGCACAAUGAUUCACAGCCCUGAGCAGGGCAACAGGAUGCGAUUUAGCAGCCUUGAUGGGGGAGGAGGCAUGGAAACUUUCUAAAAUAUUAUUUCCAUUGCCAGGCCAUUUACUUAGGAAAAUUCUUACACUGGAGCCUGUCUCUGCCCUUAUCUUCUGCUGCUGACCCUCGAGUUUCUUCCUUCCUGCUUCUCAGAUGAGCUUGGAUAUCCAUGUUACCUCUGACUGAUGCUUCUUUGCCUCUGCUUCCUACCAGCUGUGUCUGUCAUAGUCAUCAGCGGGUUGUAGGGCUGGAAGUGAGGUAGAAACAAGAAGAAAAAGUGAUGCAUUUUUUUUCCUUAUGCCUGCUUGUCUUGUCUUACAUGUUGACCAUAAGAUGUUUUUAAUUUGUAGGCAAUAUGCAUGUUGAGAGCAGCUUUCUGCUUCAUUCCUGUGUUAGUAUCUGAGAGAUGGAAAACACUUCAAUUACCAGUUGGACAGGGUUUUCCAAAAGUUAUAAUUCUCAUGAACUUUGUGGAACUUAGUGUUUAUAUUUAUAUAUCCUACUCUUGGAUUAUAGUUGUCUGUAUUUAUUUGUAUAAG